GCGGCGGCUAUAAUGCAGUCGAACGCUUUGUGCUUAAUUGAUAUGACGAGCUUGCUCUGAUUUGAUUUUUUGAUUUCAAAGAGUGGCGAACGGGUGAGUAACACGUGGGUAACCUACCUCUUAGCAGGGGAUAACAUUUGGAAACAAGUGCUAAUACCGUAUAAUACCAACAACCGCAUGGUUGUUGGUUGAAAGAUGGUUCUGCUAUCACUAAGAGAUGGACCCGCGGUGCAUUAGCUAGUUGGUAAGGUAAUGGCUUACCAAGGCAAUGAUGCAUAGCCGAGUUGAGAGACUGAUCGGCCACAAUGGGACUGAGACACGGCCCAUACUCCUACGGGAGGCAGCAGUAGGGAAUCUUCCACAAUGGGCGCAAGCCUGAUGGAGCAACGCCGCGUGUGUGAUGAAGGGUUUCGGCUCGUAAAACACUGUUAUAAGAGAAGAACGGCACUGAGAGUAACUGUUCAGUGUGUGACGGUAUCUUACCAGAAAGGAACGGCUAAAUACGUGCCAGCAGCCGCGGUAAUACGUAUGUUCCAAGCGUUAUCCGGAUUUAUUGGGCGUAAAGCGAGCGCAGACGGUUAUUUAAGUCUGAAGUGAAAGCCCUCAGCUCAACUGAGGAAUUGCUUUGGAAACUGGAUGACUUGAGUGCAGUAGAGGAAAGUGGAACUCCAUGUGUAGCGGUGAAAUGCGUAGAUAUAUGGAAGAACACCAGUGGCGAAGGCGGCUUUCUGGACUGUAACUGACGUUGAGGCUCGAAAGUGUGGGUAGCAAACAGGAUU
rnacentral:rRNA from 1 species